AUUGAACGCUGGCGGCAGGCCUAACACAUGCAAGUCGAACGAGUGGCGGACGGGUGAGUAAUGUCUGGGAAACUGCCUGAUGGAGGGGGAUAACGUCCGGAAACGGGCGCUAAUACCGCAUACUAUCAGAUGAGCCUAGGUGGGAUUAGCUAGUUGGUGGGGUAAAGGCCCACCAAGGCGACGAUCCGUAGCUGGUCUGAGAGGAUGAAAAGCCAAACUGGAACUUAGACACGGUCCAGACUCCGACGGGAGGCAGCAGUGGGGAAUAUUGCACAAUGGGCGCAAGCCUGAUGCAGCCAUGCCGCGUGUAUGAAGAAGGCCUUCGGGUUGUAAAGUACUUUCAGCGGGGAGGCGUUAACCGCAGAAGAAGCACCGGCUAACGCCGUGCCAGCAGCCGCGGUAAUAC
rnacentral:rRNA from 1 species